rnacentral:rRNA from 2 species
AAAUAUUAUAUAAAAACGUAAGGAGUAAAGAUUAAUUUCUUCAAAAUUGAAACUGUAUGGCAAUUUUAAAUCCAAUUAGAGAAAUAUGUUUAUUAAACCGAUGAUGCACGAUUAUCUUACUUAAAUUUUAAAUUUCUUACACCACCGUCUGAAGAAUAAUUUUAAUAAAUUAUUCUAUAACCUUGUUGGUUAUAAGUCAGGUCUAGGCACGGACAAUAUUUAAGAUUAAAUGUAUUUUAUAAUAAAAAUUACAGAUUAAAUAUGAAAUUAUUAAUGAAGGAAAAUUUAAAAGUAAUAUAUUUAAUAAUAUAUAUAUGAAUUGGCUCUUUAUUAUGU